rnacentral:rRNA from 1 species
ACGGAGGGAGCUAGCGUUGUUCGGAAUUACUGGGCGUAAAGCGCACGUAGGCGGCUUUUUAAGUCAGGGGUGAAAUCCCGGGGCUCAACCCCGGAACUGCCCUUGAAACUGGGAAGCUAGAAUCUUGGAGAGGCGAGUGGAAUUCCGAGUGUAGAGGUGAAAUUCGUAGAUAUUCGGAGGAACACCAGUGGCGAAGGCGGCUCACUGGCUCGAUACUGACGCUGAGGUGCGAAAGUGUGGGGAGCAAACAGGAUUAGAUACCCUGGUAGUCCACACCGUAAACGAUGAAUGCCAGUCGUCGGGCAGUAUACUGUUCGGUGACACACCUAACGGAUUAAGCAUUCCGCCUGGGGAGUACGGUCGCAAGAUUAAAACUCAAAGGAAUUGACGGGGGCCCGCACAAGCGGUGGAGCAUGUGGUUUAAUUCGAUGAUACGCGAGGAACCUUACCAGGGCUUAAAUGUAGAUUGCAUUAGCUAGAGAUAGCUAUUUCUUCGGACUAUCUACAAGGUGCUGCAUGGUUGUCGUCAGCUCGUGCCGUGAGGUGUCAGGUUAAGUCCUAUAACGAGCGCAACCCCUGUUGUUAGUUGCCAGCGAGUCAAGUCGGGAACUCUAACAAGACUGCCAGUGCAAACUGUGAGGAAGGUGGGGAUGACGUCAAAUCAUCACGGCCCUUACGU